CACGUAGGGCGCAAGCGUUGUCCGGAAUUAUUGGGCGUAAAGAGCUCGUAGGCGGUCUGUUGCGUCUGCUGUGAAAACUCGGGGCUUAACCCCGAGCCUGCAGUGGAUACGGGCAGACUAGAGGUAGGUAGGGGGAGAAUGGAAUUCCCGGUGUAGCGGUGAAAUGCGCAGAUAUCGGGAGGAACACCAGCGGCGAAGGCGGCGCUCUGGGCCGGAACUGACGCUGAGGAGCGAAAGCGUGGGUAGCAAACAGG
rnacentral:rRNA from 1 species